GUGGGGAAUUUUGGACAAUGGGCGCAAGCCUGAUCCAGCAAUGCCGCGUGCAGGAAGAAGGCCUUCGGGUUGUAAACUGCUUUUGUACGGAACGAAACGGUCCGGGUUAAUACCCUGGGCUAAUGACGGUACCGUAAGAAUAAGCACCGGCUAACUACGUGCCAGCAGCCGCGGUAAUACGUAGGGUGCAAGCGUUAAUCGGAAUUACUGGGCGUAAAGCGUGCGCAGGCGGUUUUGUAAGACAGUGGUGAAAUCCCCGGGCUCAACCUGGGAACUGCCAUUGUGACUGCAAGGCUAGAGUGCGGCAGAGGGGGAUGGAAUUCCGCGUGUAGCAGUGAAAUGCGUAGAUAUGCGGAGGAACACCGAUGGCGAAGGCAAUCCCCUGGGCCUGCACUGACGCUCAUGCACGAAAGCGUGGGGAGCAAACAGGAUUAGAUACCCGUGUAGUCC
rnacentral:rRNA from 1 species